UAACGCGUGGAUAACCUGCCUCACACUGGGGGAUAACAGUUAGAAAUGACUGCUAAUACCGCAUAAGCGCACAGUACCGCAUGGUACAGUGUGAAAAGCUCCGGUGGUGUGAGAUGGAUCCGCGUCUGAUUAGCCAGUUGGCGGGGUAACGGCCCACCAAAGCGACGAUCAGUAGCCGACCUGAGAGGGUGACCGGCCACAUUGGGACUGAGACACGGCCCAA
rnacentral:rRNA from 1 species